rnacentral:rRNA from 1 species
UCGAGAAUCUUCCGCAAUGGACGAAAGUCUGACGGAGCGACGCCGCGUGGUGGAUGAAGCCCUUAGGGGCGUAAACACCUUUUAUGCGUGAAGAAGUAUAUUGACAUUAGCGCAUGAAUAAGGGGCUCCCAACUCUGUGCCAGCAGGAGCGGUAAUACAGAGGCCCCGAGCAUUAUCCGGAUUCACUGGGCGUAAAGGGUGCGUAGGCGGUGUGAUUAGUCAGGUGUAAAAUCUUUGGGCUCAACCCAAAGCUCGCAUUUGAAACGGUCACACUAGAAGAAGUCAGAGGCAAGCAGAACUCUCGGUGUAGGGGUGAAAUCCGUUGAUAUCGAGGGGAAUACCAAAUGCGAAGGCAGCUUGCUGGGACUUUCUUGACGCUGAGGCACGAAAGCAUGGGUAGCGAACGGGAUUAGAUACCCCCGUAGUCC